GACGAACGCUGGCGGCGUGCCUAAUACAUGCAAGUAGAACGCACAGUUUAUACCGUAGCUUGCUACACCAUAGACUGUGAGUUGCGAACGGGUGAGUAACGCGUAGGUAACCUGCCUGGUAGCGGGGGAUAACUAUUGGAAACGAUAGCUAAUACCGCAUAAUAUUGAUUAUUGCAUGAUAAUUGAUUGAAAGAUGCUAUUGCAUCACUACCAGAUGGACCUGCGUUGUAUUAGCUAGUAGGUGAGGUAACGGCUCACCUAGGCGACGAUACAUAGCCGACCUGAGAGGGUGGUCGGCCAAACUGGGACUGAGACACGGCCCAGACUCCUACGGGAGGCAGCAGUAGGGAAUCUUCGGCAAUGGACGAAAGUCUGACCGAGCAACGCCGCGGGAGUGAAGAAGGUUUUCGGAUCGUAAAGCUCUGUUGUAAGAGAAGAACGGGUGUGAGAGUGGAAAGUUCACAAUGUGACGGUAUCUUACCAGAAAGGGACGGCUAACUACGUG
rnacentral:rRNA from 1 species